rnacentral:tRNA from 3 species
GGGGCCGUAAGGUAGCCUGGACCAUCCUCCCAGCAUGGGGUGCUGGAAACCCGAGUUCAAAUCUCGGCGGCCCCA